rnacentral:rRNA from 1 species
GCUCGAGUGGCGAACGGGUGAGUAACACGUGAGUAACCUGCCCUUGACUUUGGGAUAACUUCAGGAAACUGGGGCUAGUACCGGAUAGGAGCUCCUGCUGCAUGGUGGGGGUUGGAAAGUUUCGGCGGUUGGGGAUGGACUCGCGGCUUAUCAGCUUGUUGGUGGGGUAGUGGCUUACCAAGGCUUUGACGGGUAGCCGGCCUGAGAGGGUGACCGGCCACAUUGGGACUGAGAUACGGCCCAG